rnacentral:rRNA from 1 species
UAGGGAAUCUUCCUCAAUGGACGCAAGUCUGACGGAGCAACGCCGCGUGAGUGAAGAAGGAUUUCGGUUCGUAAAACUCUGUUGUUAGAGAAGAACAGCGCAUAGAGUAACUGUUAUGCGUGUGACGGUAUCUAACCAGAAAGCCACGGCUAACUACGUGCCAGCAGCCGCGGUAAUACGUAGGUGGCAAGCGUUGUCCGGAUUUAUUGGGCGUAAAGCGAGCGCAGGCGGUCAAUUAAGUCUGAUGUGAAAGCCCCCGGCUCAACCGGGGAGGGUCAUUGGAAACUGGUUGACUUGAGUGCAGAAGAGGAGAGUGGAAUUCGAUGGGUAGCGGUGAACUGCGUAGAUAUAUGGAGGAACACCAGUGGCGAAGGCGACUCUCUGGUCUGUAACUGACGCUGAGGUUCGAAAGCGUGGGUAGCAAACAGG